AUGAACGCUGGCGGCGUGCCUAAUACAUGCAAGUCGAACGAGUUCUCGUUGAUGAUCGGUGCUUGCACCGAGAUUCAACAUAGAACGAGUGGCGGACGGGUGAGUAACACGUGGGUAACCUGCCCUUAAGUGGGGGAUAACAUUUGGAAACAGAUGCUAAUACCGCAUAGAUCCAAGAACCGCAUGGUUCUUGGCUGAAAGAUGGCGUAAGCUAUCGCUUUUGGAUGGACCCGCGGCGUAUUAGCUAGUUGGUGAGGUAAUGGCUCACCAAGGCGAUGAUACGUAGCCGAACUGAGAGGUUGAUCGGCCACAUUGGGACUGAGACACGGCCCAAACUCCUACGGGAGGCAGCAGUAGGGAAUCUUCCACAAUGGACGCAAGUCUGAUGGAGCAACGCCGCGUGAGUGAAGAAGGCUUUCGGGUCGUAAAACUCUGUUGUUGGAGAAGAAUGGUCGGCAGAGUAACUGUUGUCGGCGUGACGGUAUCCAACCAGAAAGCCACGGCUAACUACGUGCCAGCAGCCGCGGUAAUACGUAGGUGGCAAGCGUUAUCCGGAUUUAUUGGGCGUAAAGCGAGCGCAGGCGGUUUUUUAAGUCUGAUGUGAAAGCCCUCGGCUUAACCGAGGAAGCGCAUCGGAAACUGGGAAACUUGAGUGCAGAAGAGGACAGUGGAACUCCAUGUGUAGCGGUGAAAUGCGUAGAUAUAUGGAAGAACACCAGUGGCGAAGGCGGCUGUCUGGUCUGUAACUGACGCUGAGGCUCGAAAGCAUGGGUAGCGAACAGGAUUAGAUACCCUGGUAGUCCAUGCCGUAAACGAUGAAUGCUAGGUGUUGGAGGGUUUCCGCCCUUCAGUGCCGCAGCUAACGCAUUAAGCAUUCCGCCUGGGGAGUACGACCGCAAGGUUGAAACUCAAAGGAAUUGACGGGGGCCCGCACAAGCGGUGGAGCAUGUGGUUUAAUUCGAAGCAACGCGAAGAACCUUACCAGGUCUUGACAUCUUUUGAUCACCUGAGAGAUCAGGUUUCCCCUUCGGGGGCAAAAUGACAGGUGGUGCAUGGUUGUCGUCAGCUCGUGUCGUGAGAUGUUGGGUUAAGUCCCGCAACGAGCGCAACCCUUAUGACUAGUUGCCAGCAUUUAGUUGGGCACUCUAGUAAGACUGCCGGUGACAAACCGGAGGAAGGUGGGGAUGACGUCAAAUCAUCAUGCCCCUUAUGACCUGGGCUACACACGUGCUACAAUGGAUGGUACAACGAGUUGCAAGACCGCGAGGUCAAGCUAAUCUCUUAAAGCCAUUCUCAGUUCGGACUGUAGGCUGCAACUCGCCUACACGAAGUCGGAAUCGCUAGUAAUCGCGGAUCAGCACGCCGCGGUGAAUACGUUCCCGGGCCUUGUACACACCGCCCGUCACACCAUGAGAGUUUGUAACACCCGAAGCCGGUGGCGUAACCCUUUUAGGGAGCGAGCCGUCUAAGGUGGGACAAAUGAUUAGGGUG
rnacentral:rRNA from 1 species